AAACCGUGUUGUGGGCAUGAACUAACAAGAUCCUUGAAUCGCUCCCAACAUUAGAAGAAUGUUUCAUCCUCCUUUUAGGCAAAGUUCAUGAUUGACUUUUUAUGGGUGU